rnacentral:rRNA from 1 species
CGAAAGCCUGAUCCAGCAAUACCGCGUGCAGGAAGAAGGCCUUCGGGUUGUAAACUGCUUUUGUACGGAACGAAACGGUCUGGAUUAAUACUCUGGGCUAAUGACGGUACCGUAAGAAUAAGCACCGGCUAACUACGUGCCAGCAGCCGCGGUAAUACGUAGGGUGCAAGCGUUAAUCGGAAUUACUGGGCGUAAAGCGUGCGCAGGCGGUUUUGUAAGACAGGCGUGAAAUCCCCGGGCUCAACCUGGGAAUUGCGCUUGUGACUGCAAGGCUAGAGUACGGUAGAGGGGGGUAGAAUUCCG